GACAGAGGAUGCAAGCGUUAUCCGGAAUGAUUGGGCGUAAAGCGUCCGUAGGUGGUUUAGUAAGUCUGCUGUUAAAGCGCGGGGCUUAACUCCGUAUCGGCAGUGGAAACUACUAGACUAGAGUGUGGUAGGGGUAGAGGGAAUUCCCAGUGUAGCGGUGAAAUGCGUAGAUAUUGGGAAGAACACCGGUGGCGAAGGCGCUCUACUGGGCCAUAACUGACACUGAUGGACGAAAGCUAGGGGAGCGAAAGGG
rnacentral:rRNA from 1 species